UACAGAGGGGGCAAGCGUUAUUCGGAAUUAUUGGGCGUAAAGGGCGCGUAGGCGGCUGUGCAAGUGGCGGGUGAAAUCCCUCGGCUUAACCGAGGAACUGCCUGCCAGACUGCACGGCUCGAGACCGGGAGAGGUGAGUGGAAUUCCCAGUGUAGCGGUGAAAUGCGUAGAUAUUGGGAGGAACACCAGUGGCGAAGGCGGCUCACUGGACCGGAACUGACGCUGAGGCGCGAAAGCGUGGGGAGCAAACAGG
rnacentral:rRNA from 1 species